UCGAGAAUUUUUCUCAAUGGGCGAAAGCCUGAAGGAGCGACGCCGCGUGGGGGAUGAAUGGCUUCGGCCCGUAAACCCCUGUCAUUUGCGAACAAAUUGACUCACUUAACACGUGUGUCAUUGAUUGUAGCGGAAGAGGAAGGGACGGCUAACUCUGUGCCAGCAGCCGCGGUAAUACAGAGGUCCCAAGCGUUGUUCGGAUUUACUGGGCGUAAAGGGUGCGUAGGCGGUUGUUUAAGUCUGACGUGAAAUCUCCGGGCCUAACCCGGAAACUGCGUUGGAUACUAUUCAACUAGAGGAAUGGAGGGGAGACUGGAAUACUUGGUGUAGCAGUGAAAUGCGUAGAUAUCAAGUGGAACAUCAGUGGCGAAGGCGAGUCUCUGGACAUUUCCUGACGCUGAGGCACGAAAGCCAGGGGAGCAAACGG
rnacentral:rRNA from 1 species